AACAAAUCUCUUAGUAAAAAAACAGCCAAGAAAAUUACUGCUCUCCUAGCUCAAAGAGAAACAUUAAUUAAAGGUGCAACACCCCGCAGAUGUCAAAGCCAGGCCCAACCUCUACUCAGAAGACACUGAGGAACCUAUCUCUCUACACGUGUCAAUUAUGGAAUAAUCACUGACUAUGGACUAUUAUGAAGACACUAGAUUAUCAAAUAGCUACAUCUGUGUCAGCUUCAAAAAAGGUCUGGAUCCAGGCACUCAUCAAACCUCAACCCUCUUACACUGU